rnacentral:rRNA from 1 species
UACGUAGGGUGCAAGCGUUAAUCGGAAUUACUGGGCGUAAAGCGUGCGCAGGCGGCUUUGCAAGACAGAUGUGAAAUCCCCGGGCUUAACCUGGGAACUGCAUUUGUGACUGCAUGGCUGGAGUGCGGCAGAGGGGGAUGGAAUUCCGCGUGUAGCAGUGAAAUGCGUAGAUAUCGGGAGGAACACCAGUGGCGAAGGCGACUACCUGGCCUGUUCUUGACGCUGAGGCGCGAAAGCUAGGGGAGCAAACGGG